CGCACUCCAACGAUCUCAUUCGUUUGUAGACAACAAUCGGCCGCAGAACAGAACAGAUCACAAGUUCCCGAUUUUCUGGCGACUUUUGGAUGACAGGAAGCAAGCAACAGCGGUGCAAUCAAUAAAGCAGCAGCUUUGUGGCAAGGAGAGGAGCGUUUUGCAGUAGUUAUCAAAAACAAGUUUCCAAUCAUUAUGCAUUUUGCUUGGAUUUAUUUAUAGACGCGGUAUUGGUUUUAAGUAUUAAAUACAUGAGAGAUACAAUUAAACAACAAAAGAGUGUACGCGAGUGUUGGUCUAAACCAAAAUCAUUUAAAUGGAAACAAAUCAAUCAAAGUUCAAAGUCA